AUAGGUUAAUGAGGCGAACCGGGGGAACUGAAACAUCUAAGUACCCCGAGGAAAAGAAAUCAACCGAGAUUCCCCCAGUAGCGGCGAGCGAACGGGGAGGAGCCCAGAGCCUGAAUCAGCAUGUGUGUUAGUGGAAGCGUCUGGAAAGGCGCGCGAUACAGGGUGACAGCCCCGUACACAAAAGCGCAUAUGCUGUGAGCUCGAUGAGUAGGGCGGGACACGUGGUAUCCUGUCUGAAUAUGGGGGGACCAUCCUCCAAGGCUAAAUACUCCUGACUGACCGAUAGUGAACCAGUACCGUGAGGGAAAGGCGAAAAGAACCCCGGCGAGGGGAGUGAAACAGAACCUGAAACCGUGUACGUACAAGCAGUGGGAGCACAGGUUUACCUGUGUGACUGCGUACCUUUUGUAUAAUGGGUCAGCGACUUAUAUUCUGUAGCAAGGUUAACCGCAUAGGGGAGCCGAAGGGAAACCGAGUCUUAAU
rnacentral:rRNA from 1 species